GCCAAUGUAGCUCAGAGGUAGAGCACUUCCUUGGUAAGGAAGAGGGCACGGGUUCAAAUCCCGCCAUUGGCU
rnacentral:tRNA from 1 species